rnacentral:rRNA from 1 species
GACGAACGCUGGCGGCGUGCUUAACACAUGCAAGUCGAACGGAAAGACCCGGCGUUUGUGGGGUUCUCGAUUGGCGAACGCGGGAGUAACACGUGAGUAACCUGCCCCUGACUGUGUGAUAAAUUCAGGAAACUGGGGCUAAUACCGGAUAGGAUCUCCUGCUGCAUGGGGGGGGUUGGAAAGUGUCGGCGGUGGGGGAUGGUCUCGCGGGUUAUCAGCUGGUUGGUGUGGUAGGUGCUUACCAAGGCUUUGAAGGGUAGCCCGCAUGAGAGGGUGAACGGGGACAAUGGUACUGCGGUAGGGAGCAGAAUGCUAUGGGCGGCAGCAGGGGGGAAUCUGGCACAACGGGGGGGAGCCUGAUGCAGAAAUGUUGCGUGCGGGAUGAUGGCUUACGGGUUGUAAACAGAUUUGGACUGUGACGAAGAGUGAGUGACGGUAAUGGGUAAAGAAGCACCGGCUAACUACGUG